rnacentral:rRNA from 1 species
UGGGGAAUUUUGGACAAUGGGCGCAAGCCUGAUCCAGCAACGCCGCGUGCAGGAUGAAGGCCUUCGGGUUGUAAACUGCUUUUGUACGGAGCGAAAAGGUCUGCCCUAAUACGGUGGGCUCAUGACGGUACCGUAAGAAUAAGCACCGGCUAACUACGUGCCAGCAGCCGCGGUAAUACGUAGGGUGCGAGCGUUAAUCGGAAUUACUGGGCGUAAAGCGUGCGCAGGCGGUUAUAUAAGACAGAUGUGAAAUCCCCGGGCUCAACCUGGGACCUGCAUUUGUGACUGUAUAGCUAGAGUACGGUAGAGGGGGAUGGAAUUCCGCGUGUAGCAGUGAAAUGCGUAGAUAUGCGGAGGAACGCCGAUGGCGAAGGCAAUCCCCUGGACCUGUACUGACGCUCAUGCACGAAAGCGUGGGGAGCAAACA